rnacentral:rRNA from 1 species
GGACCUGACUGCUAUCGGAUUGAUACUAAGCCAUGCGAGUCAUUGUAGCAAUACAAGGCAUACGGCUCAGUAACGCGUAGUCAACCUAACCUAUGGACGGGAAUAACCUCGGGAAACUGAGAAUAAUGCCCGAUAGAACAUUAUGCCUAGAAUGGUUUAUGUUCCAAAUGAUUUAUCGCCGUAGGAUGGGACUGCGGCCUAUCAGUUUGUUGGUGAGGUAAUGGCCCACCAAGACUAUUACAGGUACGGGCUCUGAGAGGAGUAGCCCGGAGAUGGGUACUGAGACACGGACCCAGGCCCUAUGGGGCGCAGCAGGCGAGAAAACUUUGCAAUGUGCGAAAGCACGACAAGGUUAAUCCGAGUGGUUUCUGCUAAAGAAACCUUUUGUCAGUCCUAGAAACACUGAUGAAUAAGGGGUGGGCAAGUUCUGGUGUCAGCC